ACUCAAAGGAAUAGACGGGGGCCCGCACAAGCGGUGGAGCAUGUGGUUUAAUUCGAUGCAACGCGAAGAACCUUACCAGGGCUUGACAUCCCCUGCUACCUAUCGAAAGAUGGGGUUCUCUUCGGAGACAGGGAGACAGGUGGUGCAUGGUUGUCGUCAGCUCGUGUCGUGAGAUGUUAGGUUAAGUCCUGCAACGAGCGCAACCCCUAUCUUUAGUUGCUAACACUUCGGGUGAGCACUCUAAAGAGACUGCCGGUGAUAAACCGGAGGAAGGUGGGGACGACGUCAAAUCAUCAUGCCCUUUAUGUCCUGGGCUACACACGUGCUACAAUGGCUCAUACAGAGGGAAGCGACCUGGCGACAGGAAGCGGAUCCCUUAAAGUGGGUCACAGUUCGGAUUGCAGGCUGCAACUCGCCUGCAUGAAGUCGGAAUCGCUAGUAAUCGCAGGUCAGCAUACUGCGGUGAAUACGUUCCCGGGCCUUGUACACACCGCCCGU
rnacentral:rRNA from 1 species